rnacentral:rRNA from 1 species
UACGGGGGGAGCAAGCGUUGUUCGGAUUUACUGGGCGUAAAGGGCUCGUAGGCGGCCAACUAAGUCAUACGUGAAAUCCCUCGGCUUAACCGGGGAACUGCGUCUGAUACUGGAUGGCUUGAGUUCGGGAGAGGGAUGCGGAAUUCCAGGUGUAGCGGUGAAAGUGCGUAGAUAUCUGGAGGAACACCGGUGGCGAAGGCGGCGAUCCUGGACCGAUACUGACGCUGAGGAGCGAAAGCCAGGGGAGCAAACGGG